rnacentral:rRNA from 1 species
GACGAACGCUGGCGGCGUGCUUAACACAUGCAAGUCGAACGGAAAGGCCCUGCUUUUGUGGGGUGCUCGAGUGGCGAACGGGUGAGUAACACGUGAGUAACCUGCCCUUGACUUUGGGAUAACUUCAGGAAACUGGGGCUAAUACCGGAUAGGAGCUCCUGCUGCAUGGUGGGGGUUGGAAAGUUUCGGCGGUUGGGGAUGGACUCGCGGCUUAUCAGCUUGUUGGUGGGGUAGUGGCUUACCAAGGCUUUGACGGGUAGCCGGCCUGAGAGGGUGACCGGCCACAUUGGGACUGGGAUACGGCCCAGACUCCUACGGGAGGCAGCAGUGGGGAAUAUUGCACAAUGGGCGGAAGCCUGAUGCAGCACCGCCGCGUGCGGGAUGACGGCCUUCGGGUUGUAAACCGCUUUCGCCUGUGACGAAGCGUGAGUGACGGUAAUGGGUAAAGAAGCACCGGCUAACUACGUG